GCGAGGAUGGCGGAACUGGUAGACGCACCAGACUUAGGAUCUGGUAUCGAAAGAUGUGAGGGUUCAAGUCCCUUUCCUCGCA
rnacentral:tRNA from 1 species